rfam:Ovis aries breed Texel chromosome 14, whole genome shotgun sequence.
UCCCUGGUGGUCCAGUGGUUAAGACUUUGAGCUCUCACUGCCGAAUGUCCUGGGUUCAAUCCCUAGUCGGGGAA